rnacentral:piRNA from 1 species
UGUUCUGGAUGCUGGAGUUUUUAAUACA